rnacentral:lncRNA from 1 species
GCGGGAGGUGAUUAAAAGUCUGGAAUUGGUGUAUUUGCUUUAUUUCGAUGUUUAAUUGCACUGUGAGUUUGCACCUAUCAGACAUCAUGAUUGAUAACAUAUUGAUGACGUCACAAACAAUUUCCCACAGGCAUGAACAAUAUUUGUUGAAUCAAAGACACACGCCGUAAAUAUCAAAGACGAUAACUUCAUGGGUCAAUU